GACGAACGCUGGCGGCGUGCUUAACACAUGCAAGUCGAACGGAAAGGCCCUGCUCUUGUGGGGUGCUCGAGAGGCGCACAGGUGAGUAACACGUGAGUAACCUGCCCUUGACUUUGGGAUAACUUCAGGAAACUGGGGCUAAUACCGGAUAGGAGCUCCUGCUCCAUGGUGUGGGUUGGAAAGUUUCGGCGGAUGGGGCUGGACUCGCGGGUUAUCAGCUUGUUGGUGGGGUAGUGGCUUACCAAGGCUUUGACGGGUAGCCGGCCUGAGAGGGUGACCGGCCACAUUGGGACUGAGAUACGGCCCAGACGGCUACGGGAGGCAGCAGUGGGGAAUAUGGCACAAUGGGCGGAAGCCUGAUGCAGCAACGCCGCGUGCGGGAUGACGGCCUGCGGGUUGUAAACCGCUUUCGCCUGUGACGAAGCGUGAGUGACGGUAAUGGGUAAAGAAGCACCGGCUAACUACGUG
rnacentral:rRNA from 1 species